CUUUCUUGCUUCUCUCUCUAAAAGCUUUUAUGAAAUUCUUUCUUCUCUGCAUAAUCUUUGUGAUAAUUCAAGAUAGUUAAUAUGGUAUCCAGAGCAGGUUCUUCCUUUGUGGAAUUACUCUGUUCAUAAUUGCUUCCUCUUACUACAACUCAAGGAGAAGGUUCGAGAUUUACAGUGGAGUUUUUUGGGAGCGCCGAUUGUGAUCUUCGUACUUUUCUGGUGAUUUCUGUCUCGCCGACUGCGAUUUCCGGACAAGGUAACCAAGGAGGUUAUUUACCCAGGCAAGAGUAGGCAAAAUGAGUUGUUUCAGAUUCCUAUUUUCAAGACUCUGCAUUCUUCAGUACAACAUCUUCCAGCUUCAACAUAUCUUGGGCAAUUAAUCAAGUCUUCUGUGUGGCAUUAACGGCUGGGGCAUCCUACUAAUGAGGUCUUAUCUAUUAUGUUACAACAGUCACAAAUAAAUUAUGUAGUAGAUGAUCAAUGUACAAUGUGACACUCGUGUAUUCAGGGGAAAAUGUCAAGAUUACCCUUUCCUCAAGAGUCUUCUAGAUGUUUAGUACCAUUUGAAAAGAUUCAUUAUGAUAUUUGGGGUCCCUUUCUAGUAAAAUCCAUUGAAGGAUAUAGGUAUUAUGUAACCUUUGUGGAUGAUUGUACUCAUUUUGUAUGGAUCUUUCCCUUGUGCAAUAAAUCAGAUGUUUUUUUUUUCCA